rnacentral:rRNA from 1 species
CCUACGGGAGGCAGCAGUGAGGAAUAUUGGUCAAUGGACGAGAGUCUGAACCAGCCAAGUAGCGUGAAGGAUGACUGCCCUAUGGGUUGUAAACUUCUUUUAUAAAGGAAUAAAACGAGGCACGUGUGCCUUUUUGCAUGUACUUUAUGAAUAAGGAUCGGCUAACUCCGUGCCAGCAGCCGCGGUAAUACGGAGGAUCCGAGCGUUAUCCGGAUUUAUUGGGUUUAAAGGGAGCGUAGGUGGGUUGUUAAGUCAGUUGUGAAAGUUUGCGGGUCAACCGUAAAAUUGCAAUUGAUACUGGCAGUCUUGAGUACAGUUGAGGUAGGCGGAAUACGUGGUGUAGCGGUGAAAUGCUUAGAUAUCACGAAGAACCCCGAUUGCGAAGGCAGCUUACUAAACUGUGACUGACAUUGAUGCUCGAAAGUGUGGGUAGCAAACAGGAUUAGAUACCCGAGUAGUC